UACGAAGGGGGCUAGCGUUGCUCGGAAUCACUGGGCGUAAAGCGCACGUAGGCGGCUUUCUAAGUCAGGGGGUGAAAUCCUGGAGCUCAACUCCAGAACUGCCUUUGAUACUGGAGAGCUUGAGUCCGGGAGAGGUGAGUGGAACUCCGAGUGUAGAGGUGAAAUUCGUAGAUAUUCGGAAGAACACCAGUGGCGAAGGCGGCUCACUGGCCCGGUACUGACGCUGAUGUGCGAAAGCGUGGGGAGCAAACAGG
rnacentral:rRNA from 1 species